AGGAUGCAUGCUGUUAGGGCUAGGGGAGGAUCAGCCAAAGGUCUGGUGUUGCUGGGCACAAUGCAGACUGGGGAGCCUGGAGACAGCAGAGAUGCCUGGACUGCAGCAAUGGGAACCAUGGGUCCUUGAAGAAAGUUUAGGGAAGAAAAAGGGCUAUUGGAGCAAGCUUCAUGGCUGUCACCCCUACCAUCUCCUGGGACCCCAAGCCUUUAUUAUGCUCAUCCUGAGAUAAGUGCAGACCAGAGAGAGGGACCCACAUGACAUUGCUGCCUCUACUGCCUAGAGCUGAAUCCCAAACACCACCCAGGAUUGGACUUUAAUAACUGCAGCAGCUCCAGGUCAUCUCAGCUAACCUUUUUCUCCAAAAGGACAGUUACCAUCUUAGAUACUAUCUACUAGACUGUCAAACAAGGCUGCUUUUCCUUCUAAAAACUCUCUCCAGCAAAAGGAACAAGGGAUGUUAAAAUGAAAUCUUUUAAUAUUUGACACUUCAAAUGUUUUAACUGUUUUCCCCUUUCUUUAUCUUUAUUAAAAGGCUAAAGAUUU